GGAUGUGAGGGCGAUCUGACUGUGACAUCUGUCACCCCAGUGAUCACUAGAGUUGAUUCAGCUGACCUGACCAGCUAGGCAGGUGUCCCCUUUCUCCAUCACUACAACAAGUGCAUCCCUCCCAAAGCUGCACAAUUCAAAGAAGACAGCCUACUCCAAACAAGGUUGGACCAUUGUUUGGUCAAGAGUAUAGGAGUAGUUGCAUUCCACUGCUUGAACCUCCAAACAAGCUCUCAAAGGGAUCAGAGAUAGUACAUAAGUUAAAAUGAUCGCCUUGCAUCUGAUUUGAACUCCCAUC
rnacentral:snRNA from 1 species